rnacentral:rRNA from 1 species
GAGUUUGAUUCUGGCUCAGAUUGAACGCUGGCGGCAUGCUUUACACAUGCAAGUCGAACGGCAGCACAAGGAGCUUGCUCCUGGGUGGCGAGUGGCGAACGGGUGAGUAAUGUAUCGGAACGUGCCUGGUAGUGGGGGAUAACUACUCGAAAGAGUGGCUAAUACCGCAUGAGAUCUUUGGAUGAAAGUGGGGGACCUUCGGGCCUCGCGCUACUGGAGCGGCCGAUAUCAGAUUAGGUUGUUGGUGGGGUAAAGGCCUACCAAGCCUGCGAUCUGUAGCUGGUCUGAGAGGACGACCAGCCACACUGGGACUGAGACACGGCCCAGACUCCUACGGGAGGCAGCAGUGGGGAAUUUUGGACAAUGGGCGCAAGCCUGAUCCAGCAAUGCCGCGUGCAGGAUGAAGGCCCUCGGGUUGUAAACUGCUUUUGUACAGAACGAAAAGUCUUCUGGCUAAUAC